rnacentral:lncRNA from 1 species
CUCAAUGGCGAGAGGUUCGCGGCUAUGCAGUGGGCCGACUGGGGUCUGAAGGACUAUGUCCAGCCAGGGGAGCUAGGGGAAAGCAGUAGCGGAGGGGGAAGUUCGGAACAAAAACGAAGGACUUGUCAGGUGGCUGUGUGGGACGAGUUCUGGGUGAGUUUACUUUCAUAUAUAAGCAAUUCACUGAAUUAUUGCUUCUCCUAAUCUUACUUUAACUUAACUUCUCCGUUGAUAUGUAGGGGAGGUUCCAAUUGCUGAAUGAGAUCGAGGAGGAUCAGGCUCGGUGGGCACGUGUGAAGAGGCACUUUCGGAAGUGUGCUGAUAAGGUCAUCAAGGAUGCCAUGUACAAUGCUCGCAUCGCGGCCGUCAACUAUUACUACAAGAAGAUAAAGGGGUAGAAAAUGAGCAAAUCAUUAGGGGCCAAUGAGAUCUACCUCACAGAGGAGCAGUACCUGGAGAGCGUUGUGGAUUGGCUGGUGAAGGACAUGGAAGCCUGGAGGUGGUUGGCUAAGAGAUGGGCGUCGCCUGAGUGGAUUGCAGAGUCCCAGAAGCAUCGUGCCAACCGUGGCACUGAAGGACCGGGGCACAGGUACGGCGCCGAUGGACACCUUGGUACCGCACGCCACAUGGUAAGUAUAUAAAUCAAACUUGUAUGUUACAUCUAUGAAAAUGCUAUGGUUUAACUCUUCUUUUUCAUGCAGGAAGCUGAAAGUGGAGUUGCUCCAAGUUUUAUGGAGGUUUACAUCCGUGGUCACCGUGACCCUGAUCCAGUGAACCCUGAUGAGCUAUGCAGCGAGGCAGCAAGGGAGAAAAUGGUAAACAAGUUUGUAUUUACGAAUUAAAUUGCAUGUUUUGUGUCUAACUCCAACUCUAACUUUCUUUGCAGAAUGCAUAUGGGGAGGAAAUGACUCAACGCCAUGGGCCUAAUUUCGACUGGAUGCAUUCAGACUUAGAUGCCUCAGCGUUGUACCACAGUGGUGGGGGUAGAAAGCAUGGCAGGUGAGGUGGUUGUCUUUGAUUCGACAAUUUCAUUAACAAGAAUGUGUCCACUUAAUGGCUCAACUAUGUGUAUCAUGCAGGUUUGCCUUUGGCACUGGCGUUGUGGAGUACAACAGGAC